GCAGGUAGGUGGUCCAGGGAUACCUUGGAAAACCGUAGCCCUAGCCACUGUACCUGAAACUAGAUUUGGUACCUGUGAUAGAAGAUCAUGAAUGAAUUCUCAAGAAGAAAUGACAGUGAGAUUUCAAAUGAUUUUUUUUUCUCUUAAAUUUGGUGACUGAAUCAGAAGUCCUCAAGUUUACAAAAUGGCUGGAUGUAUCCACUAGAGGUCAUGAUUGAGUCUAUAUCAAGACCAGAUUACUGUUAGGGUUCUCACAUAUUUUGGUCUCAGAAUCACUUUAAACUCUUAAAAAUAACGAAGACAGCAAAGAGCUUUUGUUUAGGCUUGAGACUCUUAUGCUCGUUUUCUCCACACUCGGAGUCCACAUCGGCUGAUGAUAGACAGUGAAAAGUGCUCGUUGGAACUGUGUGACUCACAGCGUUUUGCAGAACAUGACAGUUGAUACUUUGCAGGCAACAGAGUUUAGCUGAUGCACAAAUAAAUGUUUCUCUGCUUCACUUAUAAA